rnacentral:rRNA from 1 species
CUACGGGUGGCACCAGUGAGGAAUUUUGCGCAAUGGGGGAAACCCUGACGCAGCAACGCCGCGUGAGCGAAGAAGGCCUUCGGGUCGUAAAGCUCUGUCAAGUGGGAAAAAAAUUCUUUGAUGAACAGUCAAAGGACUUGAUGGUACCGCUGGAGGAAGCACCGGCUAACUCCGUGCCAGCAGCCGCGGUAAUACGGAGGGUGCAAGCGUUGUUCGGAAUUACUGGGCGUAAAGAGCGUGUAGGCGGUUUGACAAGUCAGAUGUGAAAGCCCCGGGCUCAACCCGGGAAGUGCAUUUGAAACUGUUUCACUAGAGUAUGGGAGAGGAGAUUGGAAUUCCUGGUGUAGAGGUGAAAUUCGUAGAUAUCAGGAGGAACACCCGUGGCGAAGGCGAUUCUCUGGACCAAUACUGACGCUGAGACGCGAAAGCGUGGGGAGCAAACAGGAUUAGAUACCCUGGUAGUC